rnacentral:rRNA from 1 species
UACGGAGGGUGCAAGCGUUAAUCGGAAUUACUGGGCGUAAAGCGCACGUAGGUGGUUUGCUAAGUCAGUUGUGAAAUCCCCGGGCUCAACCUGGGCACUGCAAUUGAAACUGGCAAGCUAGAGUAGGGUAGAGGGGUGUGGAAUUCCAGGUGUAGCGGUGAAAUGCGUAGAUAUCUGGAGGAACAUCAGUGGCGAAGGCGACACCCUGGACUCAUACUGACACUGAGGUGCUAAAGCGUGGGGAGCAAACAGG